rnacentral:rRNA from 1 species
ACAGGUUGAUAUUCCUGUACUACCGAUAACCGUUUGAGAGAAGGGAUGACACAGUAGGAUAAGCUAAGCACACUGUUGGUUAUGUGUGCCCAAGCAUUGAGGCGGUCAAAGUAGGCAAAUCCGCUUUGAUAAUGCUGGGAUGUGAUGGGGAGCGAAAUUUAGUAGCGAAGUAGCUGAUUUCACACUGUCAAGAAAAGUCUCUAUCGAGGUUAAAGGUACCCGUACCGCAAACCGACACAGGUGGGUGAGGAGAGUAUCCUAAGGCCAGCGAGAGAACUGUUGUUAAG